rnacentral:rRNA from 1 species
AUUGAACGCUGGCGGCAGGCCUAACACAUGCAAGUCGAACGAGCGGCGGACGGGGGCGUAAAGUAUGGGGAAUGCCCGAUAGAGGGGGGUAACUACUGGAGACGGUAGCGAAUACCGCAUGCUCUCGGAUAACACAUAUGGGAUUAGCUAGUAGGUGAGGUAAUGGCUCACCAAGGCGACGAUCCCUAGCUGGUCUCAGAGGAUGAUCAGCCACACUGGGACUGAGACACGGCCCAGACGCCUACGGAGGCAGCAGUGGGGAAUAUUGCCCAAUGGGCGCAAGCCUGAUGCAGCCAUGCCGCGUGUAUGAAGAAGGCCCUAGGGUUGUAAAGUACUUUCAGUCGGGAGGCGUUACCGACAGAAGAAGCACCGGCUAACUCCGUGCCAGCAGCCGCGGUAAUUC